rnacentral:rRNA from 1 species
GAUGAACGCUGGCGGCGUGCCUAAUACAUGCAAGUCGAGCGAACGGACGAGAAGCUUGCUUCUCUGAUGUUAGCGGCGGACGGGUGAGUAACACGUGGAUAACCUACCUAUAAGACUGGGAUAACUUCGGGAAACCGGAGCUAAUACCGGAUAAUAUUUUGAACCGCAUGGUUCAAAAGUGAAAGACGGUCUUGCUGUCACUUAUAGAUGGAUCCGCGCUGCAUUAGCUAGUUGGUAAGGUAACGGCUUACCAAGGCAACGAUGCAUAGCCGACCUGAGAGGGUGAUCGGCCACACUGGAACUGAGACACGGUCCAGACUCCUACGGGAGGCAGCAGUAGGGAAUCUUCCGCAAUGGGCGAAAGCCUGACGGAGCAACGCCGCGUGAGUGAUGAAGGUCUUCGGAUCGUAAAACUCUGUUAUUAGGGAAGAACAUAUGUGUAAGUAACUGUGCACAUCUUGACGGUACCUAAUCAGAAAGCCACGGCUAACUACGUGCCAGCAGCCGCGGUAAUACGUAGGUGGCAAGCGAUAUCCGGAAUUAUUGGGCGUAAAGCGCGCGUAGGCGGUUUUUUAAGUCUGAUGUGAAAGCCCACGGCUCAACCGUGGAGGGUCAUUGGAAACUGGAAAACUUGAGUGCAGAAGAGGAAAGUGGAAUUCCAUGUGUAGCGGUGAAAUGCGCAGAGAUAUGGAGGAACACCAGUGGCGAAGGCGACUUUCUGGUCUGUAACUGACGCUGAUGUGCGAAAGCGUGGGGAUCAAACAGGAUUAGAUACCCUGGUAGUCCACGCCGUAAACGAUGAGUGCUAAGUGUUAGGGGGUUUCCGCCCCUUAGUGCUGCAGCUAACGCAUUAAGCACUCCGCCUGGGGAGUACGACCGCAAGGUUGAAACUCAAAGGAAUUGACGGGGACCCGCACAAGCGGUGGAGCAUGUGGUUUAAUUCGAAGCAACGCGAAGAACCUUACCAAAUCUUGACAUCCUUUGACAACUCUAGAGAUAGAGCCUUCCCCUUCGGGGGACAAAGUGACAGGUGGUGCAUGGUUGUCGUCAGCUCGUGUCGUGAGAUGUUGGGUUAAGUCCCGCAACGAGCGCAACCCUCAAGCUUAGUUGCCAUCAUUAAGUUGGGCACUCUAAGUUGACUGCCGGUGACAAACCGGAGGAAGGUGGGGAUGACGUCAAAUCAUCAUGCCCCUUAUGAUUUGGGCUACACACGUGCUACAAUGGACAAUACAAAGGGCAGCGAAACCGCGAGGUCAAGCAAAUCCCAUAAAGUUGUUCUCAGUUCGGAUUGUAGUCUGCAACUCGACUACAUGAAGCUGGAAUCGCUAGUAAUCGUAGAUCAGCAUGCUACGGUGAAUACGUUCCCGGGUCU